rnacentral:rRNA from 1 species
AGUAAACGCUGGCGGCGUGCUUAACACAUGCAAGUCGAACGAGAACGGAUUAUAGCUUGCUAUAAUCGUCAGCUAAGUGGCGCACGGGUGAGUAAUGUAUAGGUAAUAUGCCUCUUACUAAGGGAUAACAAAUGGAAACGUUUGCUAAUACCUUAUACUCCUUAUUAACAGAAGUUAAUAAGGGAAAGAUUUAUUGGUAAGAGAUUAGCCUGUAUUGUAUCAGUUAGUUGGUGGGGUAAUGGCUUACCAAGACUAUGACACAUAACUGGUUUGAGAGGAUGAUCAGUCACACUGGAACUGAGACACGGUCCAGACUCCUACGGGAGGCAGCAGUGGGGAAUAUUGCACAAUGGACGAAAGUCUGAUGCAGCAACGCCGCGUGGAGGAUGACACAUUUCGGUGCGUAAACUCCUUUUAUAUGAGAAGACAAUGACGGUAUUAUAUGAAUAAGCACCGGCUAACUCCGUGCCAGCAGCCGCGGUAA